ACCCUUUAGUGUUAACACCACCAUCUAGCCCCCUUGGGACCCUCAUGCCUCCAUAAAUAUAGCAAAAUCUUAUUGUAUUCAAGCCUGAAGCUGUAGAUCUGCAUGCUGUUUGCCUCAGAAAAACAAGCAGUCUGCUGACAUCAUCAGAAGUGGUAGCCUGAUCCAAUCACAAUGCUUCCUCAUAGGAUUGGCUGAGACUGACAAGGAGGCAGAUCAGGGGCAGAGCCAGCAUGAUUCAAACACAGCCCUGGCCAAUCAGC